rnacentral:rRNA from 1 species
GACGAUCGCUGGCGGCGUGCUUAACACAUGCAAGUCGAACGGUGAAGCGCCUUCCUUUUUGGUGGGUGUGGAUGAGUGGCGAACGGGUGAGUAACACGUGAGUAACCUGCCCCCUUCUUCUGGAUAACCGCAUGAAAGUGUGGCUAAUACGGGAUAUUCUGGGUCUGUCGCAUGAUGGGUCUGGGAAAGAUAUUGUUUCGGUGGGGGAUGGGCUCGCGGCCUAUCAGCUUGUUGGUGGGGUGAUGGCCUACCAAGGCGGUGACGGGUAGCCGGCCUGAGAGGGUGGACGGUCACACUGGGACUGAGACACGGCCCAGACUCCUACGGGAGGCAGCAGUGGGGAAUAUUGCACAAUGGGCGAAAGCCUGAUGCAGCGACGCCGCGUGAGGGAUGGAGGCCUUCGGGUUGUGAACCUCUUUCGCCAGUGAAGCAGGCCUGCCUCGUUUGUGGGUGGGUUGACGGUAGCUGGAUAAGAAGCGCCGGCUAACUACGUG